CCUUUGUACUAGAUACUUUGUU
rnacentral:miRNA from 12 species